UAGGGAAUCUUCGGCAAUGGACGGAAGUCUGACCGAGCAACGCCGCGUGAGUGAAGAAGGUUUUCGGAUCGUAAAGCUCUGUUGUAAGAGAAGAACGAGUGUGAGAGUGGAAAGUUCACACUGUGACGGUAUCUUACCAGAAAGGGACGGCUAACUACGUGCCAGCAGCCGCGGUAAUACGUAGGUCCCGAGCGUUGUCCGGAUUUAUUGGGCGUAAAGCGAGCGCAGGCGGUUAGAUAAGUCUGAAGUUAAAGGCUGUGGCUUAACCAUAGUAGGCUUUGGAAACUGUUUAACUUGAGUGCAAGAGGGGAGAGUGGAAUUCCAUGUGUAGCGGUGAAAUGCGUAGAUAUAUGGAGGAACACCGGUGGCGAAAGCGGCUCUCUGGCUUGUAACUGACGCUGAGGCUCGAAGCGUGGGGGAGCAAACAGGAUUAGAUACCCUGGUAGUCCACGCUGUACGAUGAGUGCUAGGUGUUAGACCCUUUCCGGGGUUUAGUGCCGUAGCUAACGCAUUAAGCACUCCGCCUGGGGAGUACGACCGG
rnacentral:rRNA from 1 species